ACAGCACAAUGUUAAAGCCAAAGGUAGAGACCACCCUUGGCCAGUGAACUUCUGAGUGUCGGAAGUGUGCUAAGUUGAAUAGGCAGUCGGAUUUUCACUGACGCCAGUGGACUGGACUCUGUGACUGAAGCAUGAUAGUGGCCAUUGCCACAUCC
rnacentral:snoRNA from 1 species